ACUCCUACGGGAGGCAGCAGUGGGGAAUAUUGCACAAUGGGGGAAACCCUGAUGCAGCCAUGCCGCGUGUGUGAAGAAGGCCUUCGGGUUGUAAAGCACUUUCAGUAGGGAGGAAGGUAGUGUAGUUAACACCUGCAUUAUUUGACGUUACCUACAGAAGAAGCACCGGCUAACUCCGUGCCAGCAGCCGCGGUAAUACGGAGGGUGCGAGCGUUAAUCGGAAUUACUGGGCGUAAAGCGCAUGCAGGCGGCCUGUUAAGUCAGAUGUGAAAGCCCGGGGCUUAACCUCGGAAUUGCAUUUGAAACUGGCAGGCUAGAGUCUUGUAGAGGGGUAGAAUUUCAGGUGUAGCGGUGAAAUGCGUAGAGAUCUGAAGGAAUACCAGUGGCGAAGGCGGCCCCCUGGACAAAGACUGACGCUCAGAUGCGAAAGCGUGGGAGCAAACAGGAUUAGAUACCCCUGGUAGACUGUCA
rnacentral:rRNA from 1 species